AUUGAACGCUGGCGGCAUGCCUAACACAUGCAGGUCGAACGGUAGCAGACCUAGCUUGCUAGGUGCUGACGAGUGGCGGACGGGUGAGUAACGCGUGGGAAUCUGCCCAGUAGCGGGGGACAACUCGGGGAAACUCGAGCUAAUACCGCAUACGCCCUACGGGGAAAGGGACUUCGGCCACUAUUGGAUGAGCCCGCGUCGGAUUAGCUUGUUGGUGGGGUAAGUGGCCUACCAAGGCGACGAUCCGUAGCUGGUCUGAGAGGAUGAUCAGCCACACUGGCACUGAGAUACGGGCCAGACUCCUACGGGAGGCAGCAGUGAGGAAUAUUGCGCAAUGGGCGAAAGCCUGACGCAGCGACGCCGCGUGGGGGAUGAAGGUUUUCGGAUUGUAAACCCUUUCAUGAGGAAAGAUAAAGUGGGUAACCACUUAGACGGUACCUCAAGAAGAAGCCACGGCUAACUUCGUGCCAGCAGCCGCGGUAA
rnacentral:rRNA from 1 species